rnacentral:rRNA from 1 species
UACGAAGGGGGCGAGCGUUGUUCGGAUUUACUGGGCGUAAAGGGCGCGUAGGCGGCCUUGUCAGUCAGGCGUGAAAGCCCCGGGCUCAACCUGGGAACGGCGCUUGGGACAGCGAGGCUGGAGUUCGGGAGAGGAGAGUGGAAUUCCCAGUGUAGAGGUGAAAUUCGUAGAUAUUGGGAAGAACACCGGUGGCGAAGGCGGCUCUCUGGACCGACACUGACGCUGAGGCGCGAAAGCGUGGGGAGCAAACAGG